rnacentral:rRNA from 1 species
AGCGAACGCUGGCGGCAGGCCUAACACAUGCAAGUCGAACGGAUCCUUCGGGAUUAGUGGCGGACGGGUGAGUAACACGUGGGAACGUGCCCUUUGGUUCGGAACAACUCAGGGAAACUUGAGCUAAUACCGGAUGUGCCCUUCGGGGGAAAGAUUUAUCGCCAUUGGAGCGGCCCGCGUAGGAUUAGCUAGUUGGUAGGGUAAAGGCCUACCAAGGCUACGAUCCUUAGCUGGUCUGAGAGGAUGAUCAGCCACAUUGGGACUGAGACACGGCCCAAACUCCUACGGGAGGCAGCAGUGGGGAAUCUUGCGCAAUGGGCGAAAGCCUGACGCAGCCAUGCCGCGUGAAUGAUGAAGGUCUUAGGAUUGUAAAAUUCUUUCACCGGGGACGAUAAUGACGGUACCCGGAGAAGAAGCCCCGGCUAACUUCGUGCCAGCAGCCGCCGUAAAAC